GGCAAGAUAGGUCAAGUUUAGAUCAACGGGCUCAUGCCCCGGAGGUGCCUUAGUGCUCUUGCUG
rnacentral:tRNA from 1 species